rnacentral:rRNA from 1 species
CCCUUAGAUGUUCUGGGCCGCACGCGUGCUACACUGAUGCAUUCAACGAGUCUAAAGCCUGGUCUGAUAGGGCUGGGUAAUCUUUUGAAAGUGCAUCGUGAUUGGGAUAGAUGAUUGCAAUUCUUCAUCUUCAACGAGGAAUGCCUAGUAAACGCAAGUCAUCAGCUUGCAUUGAUUACGUCCCUGCCCUUUGUACACACCGCCCGUCGCUCCUACCGAUUGAAUGAUCCGAUGAAUAUCAUGGAUUGAGAGUACGAAUGGGUUCGCUCAUUUCUGCUGCUCGAGAAGUGAAGUAAAUCUUAUCAUUUAGAGGAAGGAGAAGUCGUAACA